AUGGACUGCAUUUGGAUUAUGCUUUAUCUGCUGGCAGCAGCUACAGGUACCCAGUCCCAGGUUCAUCUGCAACAGUCUGGGCCUGAACUGAGGAGCCCUGGAUCUUCAGUAAAGCUGUCUUGCAAGGAUUUUGACUUAGAUAACUUUCCUAUUGCUUAUAUGAGUUGGGUGAGGCAGAAGUCUCGGCAUGAACUUGAAUGGAUUGGAGACAUACUCCCAAGUAUUGGCAGAACAAACUAUGGAGAGAAGUUUGAAGACAGAGUCACACUGGAUGCAGACACGAUGUCCAGCACAGCCUACAUGGAGCUCAGCAGUCUGACAUCUGAGGACUCUGCAGUCUAUUACUGUGCAAGACACAGUGCUACAGAUCAUAUCUGGAACUUGUCAAAAACUCCAAAUAACAGGAAGCUAUAUUGGGCUUGA